UACGUAGGGUGCAAGCGUUAAUCGGAAUUACUGGGCGUAAAGCGUGCGCAGGCGGUUUUGUAAGUCAGAUGUGAAAUCCCCGGGCUUAACCUGGGAACUGCGUUUGAAACUACAAGGCUAGAGUGUGGCAGAGGGGGGUGGAAUUCCACGUGUAGCAGGUGAAAUGCGUAGAUAUGCGGAGGAACACCGAUGGCGAAGGCAAUCCCCUGGGCCUG
rnacentral:rRNA from 1 species